rnacentral:antisense_RNA from 1 species
CUUGAGCGAACCCAACCAGAGCGGGUGGCCUUCGGAACGUUCCCGACCGUAGGCGUCGAUCAACGCCUGGGCCUC